rnacentral:rRNA from 1 species
AUUGAACGCUGGCGGCAGGCCUAACACAUGCAAGUCGAGCGAGUGGCGGACGGGUGAGUAAUUUCUGGGGAUCUGCCAGAUGGAGGGGGAUCACUACUGGACACGGUAGCUAAUACCGCAUACCUUCUGAUGUGCCCAUAUGGGAUUAGCUUGUGGGUGGGGUAAAGGCUCACCAAGGCGACGAUCUCUAGCUGGUCUGAGAGGAUGAUCAGCAACAAUGGGACUGAGACACGGCCCAGACUCCUACGGGAGGCAGCAGUGGGGAAUAUUGCACAAUGGGCGCAAGCCUGAUGCAGCCAUGCCGCGUGUAUGAAGAAGGCCUUAGGGUUGUAAAGUACUUUCAGCGGGGAGGCGUUACCCGCAGAAGAAGCACCGGCUAACUCCGUGCCAGCAGCCGCGGUAAUAC